AGUGGCGCAGCUAACGCACUAAGUAGACCGCCUGGGGAGUACGGCCGCAAGGUUAAAACUCAAAUGGAUUGACGGGGGCCCGCACAAGCGGUGGAGCAUGUGGUUUAAUUCGACGCAACGCGAAGAACCUUACCUGGCCUUGACAUGCAGAGAACUUUCCAGAGAUGGAUUGGUGCCUUCGGGAACUCUGACACAGGUGCUGCAUGGCCGUCGUCAGCUCGUGUCGUGAGAUGUUGGGUUAAGUCCCGUAACGAGCGCAACCCCUAUCCCUAGUUGCUAGCAGUUCGGCUGAGAACUCUAGGGAGACUGCCGGUGACAAACCGGAGGAAGGUGGGGAUGACGUCAGGUCAUCAUGGCCCUUACGGCCAGGGCUACACACGUGNUACAAUGGUGCGUACAGAGGGCUGCAAACCCGCGAGGGGGAGCUAAUCUCACAAAACGCAUCGUAGUCCGGAUCGGAGUCUGCAACUCGACUCCGUGAAGUCGGAAUCGCUAGUAAUCGCGAAUCAGAAUGUCGCGGUGAAUACGUUCCCGGGCCUUGUACACACCGCCCGUCACACCGUGGGAGUGGAGUGCACCAGAAGUGGUUAGUCUAACCUUCCGGGAGGA
rnacentral:rRNA from 1 species